GUGCCAGCAGCGCGCGGUAAUACCGGCAGCCCAAGUGAUGGCCGCUGUUAUUGGGCCUAAAGCGUCCGUAGCUGGCUGCGCAAGUCCGUCGGGAAAUCCACUCGCCCAACGAGUGGGCGUCCGACGGAAACUGCACAGCUUGGGACCGGAAGGCUCGAAGGGUACGUCCGGGGUAGGAGUGAAAUCCCGUAAUCCUGGGCGGACCGCCGAUGGCGAAAGCACGUCGCGAGAACGGAUCCGACAGUGAGGGACGAAAGCCAGGGUCUCGAACCGGAUUAGAUACCCGAGUAGUCC
rnacentral:rRNA from 1 species